rnacentral:rRNA from 1 species
AUUGAACGCUGGCGGCGUGCCUUACACAUGCAAGUCGAACGGCAGCAUGGAGAGCUUGCUCUCUGAUGGCGAGUGGCGAACGGGUGAGUAAUGCAUCGGAACGUACCGUGUAAUGGGGGAUAACGUAGCGAAAGUUACGCUAAUACCGCAUACGACCUGAGGGUGAAAGCAGGGGGUCGCAAGACCUUGCGUUAUACGAGCGGCCGAUGUCAGAUUAGCUAGUUGGUGAGGUAAAGGCUCACCAAGGCGACGAUCUGCAGCGGGUCUGAGAGGAUGAUCCGCCACACUGGGACUGAGACACGGCCCAGACUCCUACGGGAGGCAGCAGUGGGGAAUUUUGGACAAUGGGGGCAACCCUGAUCCAGCCAUGCCGCGUGAGUGAAGAAGGCCUUCGGGUUGUAAAGCUCUUUCGGCCGGGAAGAAAUCGCACAGGCUAAUACUCUGUGUGGAUGACGGUACCGGCAUAAGAAGCACCGGCUAACUACGUGCCAGCCGCCGCUGUAA